CUAAUCUACCAGUGUUAAAAAUUCUAAAAUUGUAUCACCUUGAUAACGUCCUGUUCUGCAAUAAUAGACAUGGCUUCUAAAUUAUCAUAUGAAAACUUGUAAUCUUUGAGUACAACAAUACUGAUUAUUGUUGGAACCGACCAGUAAAC
ensembl:ncRNA T13A10.63 ncRNA